rnacentral:lncRNA from 1 species
UGAGGAAACUGGCCAGGAGGGGAGUAUCCCUGAGGGUUUUGGCAGCACUGGUACUGACCUGGGGGACAUUUUCCUGGACGACUAGGCUGUUGAGAAGGAGGAGGAGGAGGCGGCGGUGCUGCAUACUCUCCGGUCUGUGAUGGUGGAGGUGGAGGGUAUAAAGGGUACCCUCCAGCAGGAGGACAUGGGUACUGACAUGUAGUGCAAGUCACACAGUUAGCACUAGCAGAAGAAGGGGCGGCGUCUCCAGAAACCUCCUUGAUGAAAACAAGGUUGGAGAAGACAGAGAAACACAUUGCUGUGAAAAACACAGCGAGUUUCACAGGAAACAUUCUUCUUCUUCCUCCUGGUUCUGGUAAGAGAGCUUGCUAUGAUGUAUCAGAAGAAAGAGGUAGGUGGGAUUAGAAAAACGAUAGAUAUUGUUGAGAUGUAUUACAAACCCAGCUGCAUGCUAGCUUGCAUCAGUGGUUUGGAUGUUUCAGCUUUUAUUUCUGAAACACGGAUUUGGUGCCGCAUGGCAGACCAUUU